UGAGGAAUAUUGCACAAUGGGCGCAAGCCUGAUGCAGCAACGCCGCGUGCGGGACGACGGCCUUCGGGUUGUAAACCGCUUUUCUGAGGGACGAGCGAGGACGGUACCUUAGGAAUAAGUCUCGGCUAACUACGUGUCAGCGGCCGCGGUAAAACGUAGGAGGCGAGCGUUAUCCGGAUUUACUGGGCGUAAAGCGCGCGCAGGGGGCCGUGUAAGUUGGACGUGAAAGCUCCUGGCUUAACUGGGAGAGGUCGUUCGAUACUGCGGGGCUCGAGGUUGGGAGGGGGGUGGGGAAUUCCCGGUGUAGUGGUGGAAUGCGUAGAUAUCGGGAGGAACACCUGAGGCGAAGGCGGAACCCUGGCCCACACCUGACACUGAGGU
rnacentral:rRNA from 1 species